rnacentral:rRNA from 1 species
AUUGAACGCUGGCGGCAGGCCUAACACAUGCAAGUCGAGCGGAUGAAGGGAGCUUGCUCCUGGAUUCAGCGGCGGACGGGUGAGUAAUGCCUAGGAAUCUGCCUGGUAGUGGGGGAUAACGUCCGGAAACGGGCGCUAAUACCGCAUACGUCCUGAGGGAGAAAGUGGGGGAUCUUCGGAACUCACGCUAUCAGAUGAGCCUAGGUCGGAUUAGCUAGUUGGUGGGGUAAAGGCCUACCAAGGCGACGAUCCGUAACUGGUCUGAGAGGAUGAUCAGUCACACUGGAACUGAGACACGGUCCAGACUCCUACGGUAGGCAGCAGUGGGGAAUAUUGGACAAUGGGCGAAAGCCUGAUCCAGCCAUGCCGCGUGUGUGAAGAAGGUCUUCGGAUUGUAAAGCACUUUAAGUUGGGAGGAAGGGCAGUAAGUUAAUACCUUGCUGUUUUGACGUUACCAACAGAAUAAGCACCGGCUAACUUCGUG